rnacentral:rRNA from 1 species
GUAUUAAAGGCAACGCCUGCCCAGUGAAUAAUUAAACGGCCGCGGUAUCCUAACCGUGCAAAGGUAGCAUAAUCAUUUGUCUAUUAAUUGUAGACCUGUAUGAAAGGCUGAAUGAGAGUCCAACUGUCUCUUACAACAAAUCAAUAAAACUGAUCUCCUAGUACAAAAGCUAGAAUACUGACAUAAGACCAGAAGACCCUGUGAAGCUUUAAUAAACCCAUUAAACCAAAUAAUGCUUACUUUCGGUUGGGGCGACCUUGGAAUAAAAAAGAACUUCCAACAUAUGACCUCCUCAUAAAACAAGGCAAACAAGCCAAUAUUAGACCCAGCACAGCUGAUAAUUGAAAUAAGUUACUCCAGGGAUAACAGCGCUAUCUUCUUUAAGAGCCCAUAUCAAAAAGAAGGUUUACGACCUCGAUGUUGGAUCAGGACAUCCCAGUAAUGCAACCGUUACUAAAGGUUCGUUUGUUCAACGAUUAACAGUC